rnacentral:rRNA from 1 species
UAGUGGCGAACGGGUGAGUAACACGUGGGCAAUCUGCCCUGCACUCUGGGACAAGCCCUGGAAACGGGGUCUAAUACCGGAUACGAGUUUCACAGGCAUCUGUGAUGCUGGAAAGCUCCGGCGGUGCAGGAUGAGCCCGCGGCCUAUCAGCUUGUUGGUGAGGUAACGGCUCACCAAGGCGACGACGGGUAGCCGGCCUGAGAGGGCGACCGGCCACACUGGGACUGAGACACGGCCCAGACUCCUACGGGAGGCAGCAGUGGGGAAUAUUGCACAAUGGGCGAAAGCCUGAUGCAGCGACGCCGCGUGAGGGAUGACGGCCUUCGGGUUGUAAACCUCUUUCAGCAGGGAAGAAGCGAGAGUGACGGUACCUGCAGAAGAAGCGCCGGCUAACUACGUGCCAGCAGCCGCGGUAAUACGUAGGGCGCAAGCGUUGUCCGGAAUUAUUGGGCGUAAAGAGCUCGUAGGCGGCUUGUCGCGUCGGUUGUGAAAGCCCNGGGGCUUAACCCCGGGUCUGCAGUCGAUACGGGCAGGCUAGAGUUCGGUAGGGGAGAUCGGAAUUCCU